rnacentral:rRNA from 1 species
UACGUAGGGGGCUAGCGUUGUCCGGAAUCAUUGGGCGUAAAGCGCGUGUAGGCGGUUCGGUAAGUCCGCUGUGAAAGUCGGGGGCUCAACCCUCGAAAGCCGGUGGAUACUGUCGGACUAGAGUACGGAAGAGGCGAGUGGAAUUCCUGGUGUAGCGGUGAAAUGCGCAGAUAUCGGGAGGAACACCAGUAGCGAAGGCGGCUCGCUGGGCCAUUCCUGACACUGAGACGCGAAAGCUAGGGGAGCGAACAGG